rnacentral:rRNA from 1 species
UGCCCUAGUAACGGCGAGUGAAGCGGCAACAGCUCAAAUUUGAAAUCUGGCCUCGGCCCGAGUUGUAAUUUGCAGAGGAUGAUUUUGGCGCGGUGCCUUCCGAGUUCCCUGGAACGGGACGCCACAGAGGGUGAGAGCCCCGUAUGGUCGGACACCAAGCCUUUGUAAAUCUCCUUCGACGAGUCGAGUAGUUUGGGAAUGCUGCUCAAAAUGGGAGGUAAAUCUCUUCUAAAGCUAAAUAUUGGCCAGAGACCGAUAGCGCACAAGUAGAGUGAUCGAAAGAUGAAAAGCACCUUGAAAAGGGGGUUAAACAGUACGUGAAAUUGUUGAAAGGGAAGGGCUCGUGACCAGACUUGUGCCAGGCGGCUCAUCCGGCGUUCUCGCCGGUGCACUCCGCCUGGCUCAGGCCAGCAUCGGUUCUUGCCGGGGGAUAAGAGCUUCGGGAACGUGGCCCCCUUCGGGGGGUGUUAUAGCCCGUUGCACGAUGCCCUGGCGGGGACCGAGGUUCGCGCUCCGCAAGGAUGCUGGCGUAAUGGUCACCAACCACCCGUCUUGAAACACGGACCAAGGAGUCGUCCAUCAGAGCGAGCGUUUGGGUGUAAAACCCGCACGCGUAAUGAAAGUGAACGCAGGUGAGAGCUUCGGCGCAUCAUCGACCGAUCCUGAUGUAUUCGGAUGGAUUUGAGUAAGAGUUUUGCUGGACGGACCCGAAAGACAGUGAACUAUGCUUGUAUAGGGUGAAGCCAGAGGAAACUCUGGUGGAGGCUCGCAGCGGUUCUGACGUGCAAAUCGAUCGUCAAAUAUGAGCAUGGGGGCGAAAGACUAAUCGAACUGUCUAGUAGCUGGUUACCGCCGAAU